GAUGAACGCUGGCGGCGUGCCUAAUACAUGCAAGUCGAGCGAACAGACGAGGAGCUUGCUCCUCUGACGUUAGCGGCGGACGGGUGAGUAACACGUGGAUAACCUACCUAUAAGACUGGGAUAACUUCGGGAAACCGGAGCUAAUACCGGAUAAUAUAUUGAACCGCAUGGUUCAAUAGUGAAAGACGGUUUUGCUGUCACUUAUAGAUGGAUCCGCGCCGCAUUAGCUAGUUGGUAAGGUAACGGCUUACCAAGGCGACGAUGCGUAGCCGACCUGAGAGGGUGAUCGGCCACACUGGAACUGAGACACGGUCCAGACUCCUACGGGAGGCAGCAGUAGGGAAUCUUCCGCAAUGGGCGAAAGCCUGACGGAGCAACGCCGCGUGAGUGAUGAAGGUCUUCGGAUCGUAAAACUCUGUUAUUAGGGAAGAACAAAUGUGUGAGUAACUAUGUACGUCUUGACGGUACCUAAUCAGAAAGCCACGGCUAACUACGUG
rnacentral:rRNA from 1 species